rnacentral:lncRNA from 1 species
GAAACUGUAGCCGCUCACUCCGGGCCCCCCGCGGGAUCCCAGCCCACUGCCAUGUCGUCCGCGCCCAUGUACACUGGAAGAGCACAUGGUCCACUGACUCCUCAGCUCCGCACGUCCCGCACUCAGCUGGGACCCCCCAACCUCGCCUGCUCAGCUCUGCUCUCGUAGGAAGUCGGCUCCAGAACACCUUCCAUAGAAAGAGAGCAACCCUCGGAUGAAGUCCGGACCUCCAAAUCCAGGUGCAGUCCGGCCCCGGCUCAUGCCCU